GCUCCGUUGGUGAACCAGCGGAGGGAUCAUUACAGAGUUGCAAAACUCCCAAACCAUUGAGAACGUUACCUAUCCCGUUGCUUCGGCGGGCGGCCCGGGCCCCGUGCCCGGCGCCCCCCGGCCCCCCGUGGGCGCCCGCCGGAGGUAAACCAAACCCUUGAAUUGUAUGGCCUCUCUGAGUCUUCUGUACUGAUAAGUCAAAACUUUCAACAACGGAUCUCUUGGUUCUG
rnacentral:misc_RNA from 1 species